rnacentral:rRNA from 1 species
GGGUUGUGAGGUUAAGCGACUAAGCGUACACGGUGGAUGCCCUGGCAGUCAGAGGCGAUGAAGGACGUGCUAAUCUGCGAUAAGCGCCGGUAAGGUGAUAUGAACCGUUAUAACCGGCGAUUUCCGAAUGGGGAAACCCAGUGUGACUCGUCACACUAUCAUUAACUGAAUCCAUAGGUUAAUGAGGCGAACCGGGGGAACUGAAACAUCUAAGUACCCCGAGGAAAAGAAAUCAACCGAGAUUCCCCCAGUAGCGGCGAGCGAACGGGGAGGAGCCCAGAGCCUGAAUCAGCAUGUGUGUUAGUGGAAGCGUCUGGAAAGGCGCGCGAUACAGGGUGACAGCCCCGUACACAAAAGCGCAUAUGCUGUGAGCUCGAUGAGUAGGGCGGGACACGUGGUAUCCUGUCUGAAUAUGGGGGGACCAUCCUCCAAGGCUAAAUACUCCUGACUGACCGAUAGUGAACCAGUACCGUGAGGGAAAGGCGAAAAGAACCCCGGCGAGGGGAGUGAAAAAGAACCUGAAACCGUGUACGUACAAGCAGUGGGAGCACCCUUUGGGGUGUGACUGCGUACCUUUUGUAUAAUGGGUCAGCGACUUAUAUUCUGUAGCAAGGUUAACCGAAUAGGGGAGCCGGAGGGAAACC